rnacentral:rRNA from 1 species
AUUCCCCUAGUAACUGCGAGUGAAGCGGGAAAAGCUCAAAUUUAAAAUCUGGCGCAAGCCCGAGUUGUAAUCUGGAGAAGCAUUUUCUGUGUCGGACCGUGUACAAGUCUCUUGGAACAGAGCGUCAUAGAGGGUGAGAAUCCCGUCCAUGACACGGACUACCGAUGCUUUGUGAUAUGCUCUCGAAGAGUCGAGUUGUUUGGGAAUGCAGCUCAAAAUGGGUGGUAAAUUCCAUCUAAAGCUAAAUAUUGGCGAGAGACCGAUAGCGAACAAGUACCGUGAGGGAAAGAUGAAAAGCACUUUGGAAAGAGAGUUAAACAGUACGUGAAAUUGUUGAAAGGGAAACGCUUGAAGUCAGUCGCGUUGUCUGGAACUCAGCCUUGCUUGCAUGGUGUACUUUCCAGUUAACGGGUCAACAUCAAUUUUGGUUGAUGGAUAAAGGUAGAGGGAAUGUGGCACCUUCGGGUGUGUUAUAGCCCUUUGCUGCAUACAUUGACUGGGAUUGAGGUCUGCAGCACGCCGUCAUGGCCGGGGGUUCGCCCUACGUAACGUGCUUAGGAUGUUGGCAUAAUGGCUUUAAUCGACCCGUCUUGAAACACGGACCAAGGAGUCUAACAUGCCUGCGAGUGUUAGGGUGGAAAACCCUUGCGCAUAAUGAAAGUGAAAGUUGGGACCCUUUACCGGGGCACCGACGCCCGGCCCUGAAGUUUACUGACGGUGCUGCGGUAGAGCAUGUAUGUUGGGACCCGAAAGAUGGUGAACUAUGCCUGAAUAGGGUGAAGCCAGGGGAAACUCUGGUGGAGGCUCGUAGCGAUUCUGACGUGCAAAUCGAUCGUCAAAUUUGGG